UUGUCCAUUGGAGCCCCCAUAAGCCCCCCAAGAUAUUUUGACAUAGUGAAGAGGAGGAAGAUGGAGAAGAGAGGAAGAAGAACAGAAAAAGAGACCCCCCCAUCUAAGCUCUGGCUCCGUCCCUGCCCGUGUCAUCUCCGGCGACCUCUCGGUGAGGUUUGUCUAUUUCUGCCUAGGCUUAGCGUUUGGGUUGGAGAUUCCAGUCCCCUCUUUGGGUUUUAUCCAUUCCGGAUUGCUAGCUCGAUCUAUUGGCGCGACAGAUUUUCUUCUGGGCCACCACUGCUUAUUCGUGGCGUGUGGUUCUAGAUUGGAUUUCUUCCCCAGCUGGUGGAGACGUACGGUUGCUGAUGGUCGUUCACUGUCUCUUGCGUGUGCCGGAGUUCCCCAGCUGGUGGAGAUGUGUGGGCUGUGCUCGUCUGCACACAUAUAUUGCGGCUUUCCAAUGUUUGGGAUCGUUCUGCUAGCUUGGGAAGAGAAGCUGGUCCCUUGCCUCGGUGGUCUCCUGGGUCAUCGGGCCCUGGUGCUUCGAUUCCAGCGAGCUGCGCUGGGCCAAGAGGGAUCAAGUUGAAGGCGACGGCCCUGCAGAGAUGAUGAAGCUGUGAGACGACCGAUCUUCAGCUCCUUGAAAAGCUUCCACCAUACGUGCGCAAUCCGUUUCCAGGAUGAUCGAGUCCUGGCACCACAACUGCACGGAGUGCUGACUCGAUGGACAGGGUGCAAAUUGUACUAAACAGAUUUAGAGAGGCAUUAAGGGUCACCAAUGACACCCUGAUGGACGGAGUCGCAGUCCUAGACACGACGACAGCAGGCGCCACCAUGGACUCGAUGACCCGCAACGGCAACAGUAUAUCCACAAGGGUCCGGCGGCCUGGUGAUCUGUUGGCGCAGCAAUCUAAAAAUUGGUGCGCGCACAGACAUCGAUCCUCGGUGCCGGAGGAUUUCGAUUUUAACGGGGAUCAGCUAUUGGGAGCGUACUAGAGCUGCGGAAAUCUGGCACACUUGACCUUUGUUUUUUGGACGCACGGAAAUAUUGAGAAUACUAAGAUGCCCAAUACAUGCUUCCAAAUCCGAUUCUGGAAACUAAUAUGAAAAAAACAGCUCCAACAGUAGCCUAAUCCAGUUCCCAAUUUUCCCGUACGCCCAAAAAUGAAGGUCUCUCGAGCCAGAUUUCGUCAGCAAGAAUAAAUAAAGCUUUCAAAAGAAGCAGAGUUCGUCUCUUUCAAAAGAAAAACUGAGCUUUCGCCUCAUGCAUCCAUGAUCCAUCGAAUCCUUGUCGCGUAGCUUGUCUCUGAACCGUGCUGGCCGCGCUCGGCGCCAAGGGAUCUCCGAGACUCCGACAUCCAAGUCAAAGCACGGCGGCAGUGCGUUUCUUCAGAGUUGCUUGAUCCGAAUUCGAUUUUCAUCAUCAUGAGAACAUACAAUCUGAGCAUUCGUUUGCUAUUGUUCUCAACCAUUAAUUGCUUCCAUCGAUUUUGCUAGUUCUUUUCUUGCUAGCAUUGAUCGUGGCGUGGGAAGA